rnacentral:rRNA from 1 species
AACAGGAUUAGAUACCCUGGUAGUCCACGCCGUAAACGUUGGGCGCUAGGUGUGGGGCUCAUUCCACGAGUUCCGUGCCGCAGCAAACGCAUUAAGCGCCCCGCCUGGGGAGUACGGCCGCAAGGCUAAAACUCAAAGGAAUUGACGGGGCCCCGCACAAGCGGCGGAGCAUGCGGAUUAAUUCGAUGCAACGCGAAGAACCUUACCAAGGCUUGACAUGCAGGGUAAUCCGGCAGAGAUGUCGGGUCCGCAAGGGAUCUUGCACAGGUGGUGCAUGGUUGUCGUCAGCUCGUGUCGUGAGAUGUUGGGUUAAGUCCCGCAACGAGCGCAACCCUCGUCCUAUGUUGCCAGCGCGUGAUGGCGGGGACUCAUAGGAGACUGCCGGGGUCAACUCGGAGGAAGGUGGGGAUGACGUCAAAUCAUCAUGCCCCUUAUGUCUUGGGCUUCACGCAUGCUACAAUGGCCAGUACAAAGGGCUGCGAGACCGUGAGGUGGAGCGAAUCCCAAAAAGCCGGUCUCAGUUCGGAUUGAGGUCUGCAACUCGACCUCAUGAAGUCGGAGUCGCUAGUAAUCGCAGAUCAGCAACGCUGCGGUGAAUACGUUCCCGGGCCUUGUACACACCGCCCGUCAAGUCAUGAAAGUCGGUAACACCCGAAGCCGGUGGCCUAACCCUUGUGGAAGGAGCCGUCGAAGGUGGGAUCGGUGAUUAGGACUAAGUCGUAACAAGGUAACC